rfam:Galdieria sulphuraria unplaced genomic scaffold scaf_35, whole genome shotgun sequence.
ACAGAACUGGCGAAAUUGGUAGACGCGUUAGAUUCAGAAUCUAAUGAUUUUAAUUAUAGUUGUCCGGGUUCGAGUCCCGGGUUCUGUA